rnacentral:tRNA from 3 species
ACGGGCAUAGUUUAAAGGUAGAACUACGGUCUCCAAAACCGUCGGUCUGGGUUCGAGUCCUGGUGCCCGUGCUA